UUCCCGCUGCGGUGGGAGAGCACCGGCGACCAGUGGUGGUACGCCUCGCCCAUCGACUGGGCGGCCGCCGACGGCCACUACGACAUCGUCCGCCAGCUGCUGCACCUCGACCCCAACCUCCUCAUCAAGCUCACCUCGCUCCGCCGGAUCCGCCGCCUCGAGGCGCUCUGGGACGACGACGCACGCUUCGUCCACGCGCCCCGCCACCGCGCCUCCGUCGCCCGUGGCCUGCUGCUGGAAUGCGAGUGCAAGCACGGCGCCGAGAACACGCUGCUCCGGGCCGGCUACGGCGGAUGGCUACUCUACACGGCGGCCUCCGCGGGGGACGCGGGCUUCGUGCAGGAGCUGCUGGACAGGGACCCGCUGCUCGUCUUCGGCGAGGGCGAGUACGGGGUCACGGACAUGUUCUAUGCGGCGGCGAGGGGCGGCAACGCCGACCUGUUCAGGAUGCUGCUGGACCACGCCAUGUCCCCGAGGUGCUCGACGUAUGGUCGCGACGGGGAUGGCGCCGGCGCCGGCGGCCGCGCCUCGGUGUUCCGGCUGGAGAUGAUGAGCAGGGCUGUACACGCUGCCGCCAGAGGAGGGAGCGUGCGGAUGCUGAAGGAGCUCAUCGACGGUCGCUCCGACGUGUCGGCGUAUCUUGAUAUCCGUGGAUCCACCGUGCUUCAUGCAGCUGCUGGGAGAGGGCAGCUCGAGGUUGUCAAGUACCUGAUGGCCUCUUUCGACAUGAUCAACUCAACCGACAACCAAGGGAACACUGCACUACAUGUAGCGGCCUACCGAGGGCACCUGCCCGUUGUAAACGCACUGGUUGCUGCAUCUCCAUCAGCCAUAUCAGCUGUCAACAAUGCAGGCGAUACGUUCCUCCACUCGGCGAUCGCAGGGUUCAGAACCCCGGGGUUCCGUCGGCUCGACCGGCAGCUGGAGCUCACCAAGCAUCUCAUUCGAGAGAGAGCCGCAGACAUCAGGAAGAUCAUCAACCUGAGAAACGACGCGGGCCUCACCGCCCUGCACAUGGCUGUGGUUGGCUGCGUGCACCCGGACCUCGUCGAGCUCCUGAUGACCACGCCGUCCAUCGACCUUAACGUCGAAGAUGCUGACGGCAUGACCCCGCUGGCGCUGCUCAAGGAGCAGCUGCGAUCAACCACGUCGGAGAGGCUCAUCAAGCAGAUAGUCUCCGCCGGAGGGGUGCUGAGCUCGAGCGUGCUGAGAAGCCGGUCGGCCGUCGUUUCGCAGAUAAAGAUGCGGGGAGGGAUUGCGAUCAGUCCGGGCACCAUGUUCAGGAUAUCGGAUGCGGAGAUAUUGUUGCACUCGGGCAUUGCGGCGACGGAGUCCCGAAGGGCUAGCUCGUGCUCUAGCGAUGGCAAGUGUGACCCUGUACAUGCGGAUGCAAAC
rnacentral:rRNA from 1 species